rnacentral:rRNA from 1 species
ACAAUAAACAACGAGCGAAAGCCUGAUCCAGCCAGACUGCGUGUGUAAAGAAGGACUUCGUCCUGUAAAGCACCUCAAGAUUGGGGGAUGGGUCGUAGGAUAAUAUCCUGCAUUGUCGACGUUACUAACAGAAUAAGCACCGCCUAUCGUCGUGCCAGCAGCCGCGGUAAUACGAAGGGUGCAAGCGUUAAUCGGAAUUACUGGGCGUAAAGCGCGCGUAGGUGGUUCGUUAAGUUGGAAGUGAAAGCCCCGGGCUUAACCUGGGAAUUGCUUUCAAAACUGACGAGCUAGAGUACGGUGGAGGGUAGUGGAAUUUCCUGUGUAGCGGUGAAAUGAGUAGAUAUAGGAAGGAACAUCAGUGGCGAAGGCGGCUACCUGGACUGAUACUGACACUGAGGUGCGAAAGCGUGGGGAGCAAAC